AAGGAGGUAGCCGAAAAUCUUAAAAAGAGUAGGUA
ncrna:unclassified sequences DTF805b RNA